rnacentral:rRNA from 1 species
AUCAACGCUGGCGGCGUGCCUCAGACAUGCAAGUCGAACGAUUAAAGCUCUCUUCGGAGAGUGUAUAGAGUGGCGCACGGGUGAGUAACACGUAAGUAAUCUACCUUCGAGUGGGAAGUAACGUCCGGAACGGACGCUAAUACCGCAUAAUGCAGCGGCAUCGCAAGAUGACAGUUGUUAAAGAUUAUUCGCUUGAAGAGGAGCUUGCGGCAGA